GCGACAGGCUUAACACAUGCAAGUCGAGGGGCAGCACAGGUAGCAAUACCGGGUGGCGACCGGCGCACGGGUGAGUAACGCGUAUGCAACUUGCCUAUCAGAGGGGGAUAACCCGGCGAAAGUCGGACUAAUACCGCAUGAAGCAGGGGCCCCGCAUGGGGAUAUUUGCUAAAGAUUCAUCGCUGAUAGAUAGGCAUGCGUUCCAUUAGGCAGUUGGCGGGGUAACGGCCCACCAAACCGACGAUGGAUAGGGGUUCUGAGAGGAAGGUCCCCCACAUUGGUACUGAGACACGGACCAAACUCCUACGGGAGGCAGCAGUGAGGAAUAUUGGUCAAUGGCCGAGAGGCUGAACCAGCCAAGUCGCGUGAGGGAUGAAGGUUCUAUGGAUCGUAAAUCUCUUUUAUAAGGGAAUAAAGUGCGGGACGUGUCCCGUUUUGUAUGUACCUUAUGAAUAAGGAUCGGCUAACUCCGUGCCAGCAGCCGCGGUAAUACGGAGGAUCCGAGCGUUAUCCGGAUUUAUUGGGUUUAAAGGGUGCGUAGGCGGCCUUUUAAGUCAGCGGUGAAAGUCUGUGGCUCAACCAUAGAAUUGCCGUUGAAACUGGGGGGCUUGAGUAUGUUUGAGGCAGGCGGAAUGCGUGGUGUAGCGGUGAAAUGCAUAGAUAUCACGCAGAACCCCGAUUGCGAAGGCAGCCUGCCAAGCCAUUACUGACGCUGAUGCACGAAAGCGUGGGGAUCAAACAGGAUUAGAUACCCUGGUAGUCCACGCAGUAAACGAUGAUCACUAGCUGUUUGCGAUACACUGUAAGCGGCACAGCGAAAGCGUUAAGUGAUCCACCUGGGGAGUACGCCGGCAACGGUGAAACUCAAAGGAAUUGACGGGGGCCCGCACAAGCGGAGGAACAUGUGGUUUAAUUCGACGAUACGCGAGGAACCUUACCCGGGUUUGAACGCAUUCGGACCGAGGUGGAAACACCUUUUCUAGCAAUAGCCGUUUGCGAGGUGCUGCAUGGUUGUCGUCAGCUCGUGCCGUGAGGUGUCGGCUUAAGUGCCAUAACGAGCGCAACCCUUGCCACUAGUUACUAACAGGUAAAGCUGAGGACUCUGGUGGGACUGCCAGCGUAAGCUGCGAGGAAGGCGGGGAUGACGUCAAAUCAGCACGGCCCUUACAUCCGGGGCGACACACGUGUUACAAUGGCGUGGACAAAGGGAAGCCACCUGGCGACAGGGAGCGAAUCCCCAAACCACGUCUCAGUUCGGAUCGGAGUCUGCAACCCGACUCCGUGAAGCUGGAUUCGCUAGUAAUCGCGCAUCAGCCAUGGCGCGGUGAAUACGUUCCCGGGCCUUGUACACACCGCCCGUCAAGCCAUGGGAGCCGGGGGUACCUGAAGUCCGUAACCGCGAGGAUCGGCCUAGGGUAAAACUGGUGACUGGGGCUAAGUC
rnacentral:rRNA from 1 species